rnacentral:rRNA from 1 species
CGAAUUCCCCUAGUACGGCGAGUGAGCGGGAAGAGCUCAAAUUUAAAAUCUGGCAGGCUACGCCUGUCCGAAUUGUAAUCUCGAGAAGUGUUUUCCGCGUUGGCCUGUGUACAAGUCCCUUGGAACAGGGCGUCAUAGAGGGUGAGAAUCCCGUCCUUGACACAGACACCCAAUGCUUUGUGAUACACUCUCAAUGAGUCGAGUUGUUUGGGAAUGCAGCUCAAAAUGGGUGGUAAAUUCCAUCUAAAGCUAAAUACUGGCGAGAGACCGAUAGCGAACAAGUACCGUGAGGGAAAGAUGAAAAGCACUUUGGAAAGAGAGUCAAACAGUACGUGAAAUUGUUGAAAGGGAAACGAUUGAAGUCAGUCGUGCCUGCCUAGAUUCAGCCUUCUGGUGUAUUUCUAGGUCGGCAGGUCAGCAUCAGUUUGGGGGGGUUAACAAGGGGGCUGGGAAUGUGGCAACCUCGGUUGUGUUAUAGCCCAGUUUCGCAUUGAUCUCGCUGGACUGAGGAACGCAGUGCGCCCGCAAGGGUUGGUCUUCGGACACAUUCGCACUUAGGAUGCUGGCAUAAUGGCUUUAAACGACCCGUCUUGAAACACGGACCA